rnacentral:rRNA from 1 species
ACGCUGGCGGUAUGCCUAACACAUGCAAGUCGUACGAGAGUUUUUAACUCUAGUGGCGGACGGGUGAGUAACACGUGAGAAUUUGCCUUUAGGAGGGGGAUAACAAUUGGAAACGAAUGCUAAUACCCCAAAUGCUUUUGAGUGAAACGGAUUUAUCCGCCUAGAGAGAAGCUCGCGGCUGAUUAGCUUGUUGGUAAGGUAAGAGCUUACCAAGGCGACGAUCAGUAUCUGGUUUGAGAGGACGAUCAGACACACUGGAACUGAGACACGGUCCAGACUCCUACGGGAGGCAGCAGUGGGGAAUUUUCCGCAAUGGGCGAAAGCCUGACGGAGCAAUACCGCGUGAGGGAAGACUGCCUAUGGGUUGUAAACCUCUUUUUUCAGGGAGGAAUAAAUGACGUGUACCUGAAGAAUAAGCAUCGGCUAACUCCGUGCCAGCAGCCGCGGUAAGACGGAGGAUGCAAGUGUUAUCCGGAAUCACUGGGCGUAAAGCGUCUGUAGGUGGCCUAAUAAGUCAACUGUUAAAUCUUGAGGCUCAACUUCAAAAUCGCAGUCGAAACUAUUAGACUAGAGUAUAGUAGAGGUAAAGGGAAUUUCCAGUGGAGCGGUGAAAUGCGUAGAUAUUGGAAAGAACACCGAUGGCGAAAGCACUUUACUGGGCU